rnacentral:tRNA from 1 species
GAAGGUAUAGCUCAAGUGGUAGAGCACAUGCUUAGCAUGCAUGAGCUCCUGGGUUCAAUCCCCAGUACCUCCU